GGCCGUCUCCAUGGCAGCGAGGGCGGGGGGUUUUAAGACGUCCCGGAGACCAUUGCGGUUGGUUGCUUUGCUUUUCGAAGCCGGCGAGGCUAAAGAGUACAAAACUGGGGCAAACAACUGAGGAUGUCAUCCUGUUUGGCUCAGGAGGUUCACCUUGCUAGAAGACAUGAGGAGAUGAUAUAGAAAUAGCAGAAAAAAAGCUGCAAGAAAGAAUGUAUUUACUUCCACAUCCUGAUACUGUUAAGUUAGAAACUCUCUAUUGGGCAUCAAUAAAAGAAUCUCUUCCCAAAUGGGAAGAGUUUCUUUUAGGAAGAGCAGAAG